rnacentral:rRNA from 1 species
GACGAACGCUGGCGGCGUGCCUAAUACAUGCAAGUAGAACGCUGAAGGAGGAGCUUGCUCUUCUGGAUGAGUUGCGAACGGGUGAGUAACGCGUAGGUAACCUGCCUGGUAGCGGGGGAUAACUAUUGGAAACGAUAGCUAAUACCGCAUAAGAGUAGAUGUUGCAUGACAUUUACUUAAAAGGUGCAAUUGCAUCACUACCAGAUGGACCUGCGUUGUAUUAGCUAGUUGGUGGGGUAACGGCUUACCAAGGCGACGAUACAUAGCCGACCUGAGAGGGUGAUCGGCCACACUGGGAGUGAGACACGGCCCAGACGCCUACGGGAGGCAGCAGUAGGGAAUCUUCGGCAAUGGACGGAAGUCUGACCGAGCAACGCCGCGUGAGUGAAGAAGGUUUUCGGAUCGUAAAGCUCUGUUGUAAGGGAAGAACGAGUGUGAGAGUGGAAAGUUCACACUGUGACGGUAUCUUACCAGAAAGGGACGGCUAACUACGUG